rnacentral:rRNA from 1 species
GACGAACGCUGGCGGCGUGCUUAACACAUGCAAGUCGAACGGAAAGGCCCUGCUUUUGUGGGGUGCUCGAGUGGCGAACGGGUGAGUAACACGCGAGUAACCUGCCCUUGACUUUGGGAUAACUUCAGGAAACUGGGGCUAAUACCGGAUAGGACCUCCUGCUGCAUGGUGGGGGUUGGAAAGUUUCGGCGGUUGGGGAUGGACUCGCGGCUUAUCAGCUUGUUGGUGGGGUAGUGGCUUACCAAGGCUUUGACGGGUAGCCGGCCUGAGAGGGUGACCGGCCACAUUGGGACUGAGAUACGGCCCAGACUCCUACGGGAGGCAGCAGUGGGGAAUAUUGCACAAUGGGCGGAAGCCUGAUGCAGCAACGCCGCGUGCGGGAUGACGGCCUUCGGGUUGUAAACCGCUUUCGCCUGUGACGAAGCGUGAGUGACGGUAAUGGGUAAAGAAGCACCGGCUAACUACGUG